rnacentral:lncRNA from 1 species
CCCCUUUACACCGCAUGGGCGGACACUUGGCCACCGCCGGGGCCUUGGGGUGAGCACACGCUCAGGAGGAUGGACCUAAAGAAACGCUUUUGCAAGCCCUGAAAACAACAGUGAUGAAGUAGAACUGCAUGUAACAAUAUGGAUACAUCUGAAAAAUACGCUGUUAAAUGAGCAAAACAGAUUGCAGACGGAUAGUUUCACAGGUUAAGAAGAAGAAAUGUACUCAAAGAGCUGUACUUAAGGAAUUAAAACUGAGGAGCCCCAACUGCACCUGGACCUGAUUUAGAUGACAAGAUUUUGGAUAUUGAGCUCACACUGCAAUGGGAUGAGACUUUGCAAUCCUUGGAGGGUCCAGAAAGAGCAAGGAACAAACAAGAAGAAAAUCAAGGGGAAAGCAAGAAAAAAACGAAAGCCAAUGGAGUAUGAAGAAGACUACGUGCAAAGAUUCUUUAAUAUAUUAAUAUGGAUUACUACUGUCCAAGUAAGGAAAUGGAGAUGAGGCCAUCCUCGAACUUAUUUGAUCCCCAAACCCCUCACUGCGGAACACCUGUUAACAGCUCCCAGAACAGCGACAGAAGAAAGCCUAAAUUUUAGCUUUAAUUUUUGUGAUCCUGAGCAAACCACUUUAUGCCACAGUUUUCUUAAUUGUGGAUUGAUGAAGUCAUACUGCUGUGAUUUAUGAUUCUCUACUGGUUUGGGCCAACUUCUGUUAAGAAUGCUAUAUACCCUGGAUGUGUCAAAAUUUCCAGAGUGAGGUGGAAUGCUGAAGUACAGAGGAAUAGGGUAACAUUAAAAAAAAAUAGGUUAAUGUGGCCCACAUGUGGGUAUGUGAGUUACAUAAUUUCCCCGAACAGAAAUUUCAUAAGAAAAAAGCCUAUGAGGCUACAUCUAGACCUACUAUCCACUCACCCUUGUUAUAGAGUGUAACCCCAAGGAAGAGAAGUGUUACAAUGGAAAAAACACAGUACUUCUGUUAAGAGUACCCUUUGGCAUUCACAGAGACUUCAACUACCUAUUAUACUAUUAAUACAUAAUGUAUCCCGUUAAUGUAAAUUAUUCAAGGUAGGUAUAAUGCUCACCUACCCUGCUUCAGAAUGCUUAAUUUUCUCACCCAGCUUCUCAAUGGAAAAAGCCUUUUCUUACAGAGUUUUUGGGUAUAGCUUAGGACAAGGUCCUUCAUUGCUUCAUCCUUAAAGUUUCCUAUUGACAAACUGGGCUUAAGGAAUUAGCCUAUCAACUGACUACCAACUAUACGAAAAGUAUUCACAUAAUGAUUUGUGUUUGGAUUGAUCUUCGAGAACCACAACCCUAAAGUCUUACGUGAUGGGGGUGAGAUAACGCUGAGAUGUAAGUCUAAUGGAGUAAAUAAACAAGACAGAGUAAAAUAAGAUUUGGUUUAUCAAUACUAUACUACAAAUUUGAUAGCAUCAUAAUUUUUAAAAACCUUUUUUUACCCUUUUCCUUCAUAUAAAAAUAGUACAUAUUCAUUGUGGAGAUUUUUAGAAAAUGCAGAAAAGUAAAAAAAAACCAAAAAAAUUUGGUUCCACUAUAAAAAGACAGUCCUACUGUAAAAGAUAUCCAGCAUUCUAAUUUUGGUAUUUACUUUUGUUCUGUCUCUGUGUGUAUAUGAAUAAGACUAUGUAUAUAUCCACAUAGCUUUACAUGUCUGGAAUUAUGUAUCAUAUACAAAUGUUUUAUCCUUUAAUAUUAUAUUAUGAGUAUUUCCCCAUGUCAUUAGUCUUGAAAAACAUUUUUAGUGGCUUUAUAGUAAACCAUGGUUUGUCUACAAUAUAUUUCUUUGUUCUUCUAUCAUUACUUAGAUUAUUUCAAAAAUUUGGUUUUGCAAAUAUAGUAUAAUAAACAUCAUUAUAUGUAACAUUUAUAUAUUUCUGUUUAGAAUAGAUUUCUAGAAGAAAAAUUGCAUUGUAAAAAGGUAUACAUGUUUUUAAAAGGUCUUAACUUCUAAACUCUUUUCCACAAGCUUUUGGGUCAAUUUAUAAGUCAUCAACACUGUAUAACACUGUGUAUGUUUUUAUCACACCCCAGUAAACACUGAAUAUUACCUUUCUAAUAUUGUAAAUAGGUA